AUCUACUGUUGUUUUCAUGCACAAAUGAAAUAUAUUUCUGUUUGCUUUCAGUGACACCACCUGUUCCUUAUGGCAGUUUUGAUCAUUCAUCCUGGUUGACCAUCGCUGUGGCUCUCUGUUUGGAUAUGCUGCUGUUGCUUCUCAUGUUCAUCAUAUACUUUGUCUACGAACGUUUUGCACCUUGUAAAAAAAGAACAAAUGCAGCAUGAGGAAAAAGCAAAGAG